UACGUAGGGGGCGGGCGUUGUCCGAAGUUACUGGGCGUAAAGCGCGUGUAGGCGGGUCUUUAAGUGAGGGGUGAAAGGUUUGGGCUUAACCCAGACACUGCCUUUCAUACUGGAGACCUUGAGUGCGGGAGAGGCGAGUGGAAUGGUCGGUGUAGCGGUGAAAUGCGUAGAUAUCGAUCGGAACACCCAUGGCGAAGGCAGCUCGCUGGCCUGUAACUGACGCUGAGACGCGAAAGCGUGGGGAGCAAACAGG
rnacentral:rRNA from 1 species